AACCUGGUUGAUCCUGCCAGUAGUCAUAUGCUUGUCUCAAAGAUUAAGCCAUGCAUGUCUAAGUACAAGCCUGAAUAAGGUGAAACCGCGAAUGGCUCAUUAAAUCACACCUAAUGUACCGGACAGUUCCACUUACUUGGAUAACUGCGGUAAUUCUGGAGCUAAUACAUGCUUAAAGGCCCCGACUCAAGGAGGGGCGCAUUUAUUAGAUCAAAACCAAACCGCUUGCGGUUUUAUUGGUGAAUCUGAAUAACUCUAUGCUGAUCGUAUGGCUCAACGCCGACGACGUGUCCGUCCAAGGUGUGCCCUAUCAACUGUCGACUGUGGCAUAGACGCCCACAGUGGUUUUGACGGGUAACGGGGAAUUAGGGUUCGAUUCCGGAGAGGGAGCCUGAGAAACGGCUACCACUUCUAAGGAAGGCAGCAGGCACGCAAAUUACCCAAUGGUCGCAG
rnacentral:rRNA from 1 species